rnacentral:tRNA from 1 species
CCUGGUGGCUCAGCUGGUAAAGCGUCUGCCUACAAUGCAGGAGACCUGGGUUCAAUCCCGGGGUCAGGA